rnacentral:rRNA from 1 species
UACGUAGGGUGCAAGCGUUAAUCGGCAUUACUGGGCGUAAAGCGUGCGCAGGCGGUUAUGCAAGACAGAUGUGAAAUCCCCGGGCUCAACCUGGGAACUGCAUUUGUGACUGCAUGGCUAGAGUACGGUAGAGGGGGAUGGAAUUCCGCGUGUAGCAGUGAAAUGCGUAGAUAUGCGGAGGAACACCGAUGGCGAAGGCAAUCCCCUGGACCUGUACUGACGCUCAUGCACGAAAGCGUGGGGAGCAAACAGG